GUGAUGAUGGGUAUCAAAGCAAUGAUCCGUGAUGGGCUCGCGACGGACUGA
rnacentral:snoRNA from 1 species